GAGAGUAUAGCUCAAGUGGUAGAGCACAUGCUUAGCAUGCACAAGGUGCUGGGUUCAAUCCCCAGUACUUCUA
rnacentral:tRNA from 1 species